GAAAAUAAUAUCUGGAUCAAUUUCAAAAUCCAGAAAAGAUGAUAUCUUUAUAACCAAAAAAACAAGAAUAGAGAAACAUCAAGAAGAAAUCACAUGCAUCAUCUAUGUUCUUCUAAGUAAUUUUCUCCACUAUAUUCCCUAUCCAUCAACAAAUUAAACUAUUAAUAUACUAUUCCUGAAUAAUCAGACAAACAGAAAGGCACUCAAAAUAUGGCAUAAUUAGAGAAAGUAAACAAUUUCAAUAAAAAAUAUGGACAACUGAAAUUCCUAAACAGUUUCCUAUCUUUUAUAAGAAAAAGUGAAUAAAUCAACAUUCUUUUAACUUAAUCACCAGACAGGCAGUCGACAAUUAAAG
rnacentral:misc_RNA from 1 species